rnacentral:misc_RNA from 1 species
GGCUCCAUUGUGACUGAUUCAACUUUUCUCUCUAACACACACAUUGGAGACACACAUACACAUGCAAACACACUCACACAUGCGCAUGCACGCACAGACACACUCACAUGGGAACACACACGUUCACAUGCAUACGCACACAGGCACGCACUGACACAGGCACACACUCUAGUGAAGUAAAUUAUGAUUCCUACUGCAAAGCCCUGUCCUCUUAGGAAGACUGAAAGACUUAUCAUCUUCAUGCAUUUUGAUUUUUGAGUUCUAGCCAGGUCUAUAAUUAUUUUUAUGUGAUAGCUAGGAACACCAUGUCUCUGUUUGCUGAUGCGUAUGGUAACAGUUAUGAGGAUGGCAGAACCUGCUUGUGAAGCUUCAUUGUAUAUUCCGAGUGAUAUUGUACUUAAAAGAUAUUAUCAAAUUGUUUUUUUGAAAAUUUGGGUGGACAGCAUGGCUCGUUAUGUGAUAGCUUUAUUUCUAGUGUCAUCAUGCAAGCAGCAUUUGUAUUUAUUCUCAACAUGGUAAGCUGAUGCUAUUUCUCAUGUAUUGCAAUUUAACUUCUCAAGGCCUUAUUAUUUUGUGCUUCAUUUGAUGCAUCUGAUAUGCAUUUCUGCUUUAUAUGUAGGGAACUGAUCUUAUUUUUAAUUCAG